rnacentral:piRNA from 1 species
ACCAUUAAUAGUGUGUCCUGUAUUGACU